GACGUAGGGCGCGAGCGUUGUCCGGAUUUAUUGGGCGUAAAGAGCUCGUAGGCGGCUCGUUGCGUCGGCUGUGAAAACCCGCAGCUCAACUGUGGGCUUGCAGCUGAUACGGGCGGGCUGGAGUUCGGUAGGGGAGACUGGAAUUCCUGGUGUAGCGGUGAAAUGCGCAGAUAUCGUAAGGAAGACCAGUGGCGAAGGCGGGUCUCUGGACAGUUCCUGACGCUGAGGCACGAAGGUCAGGGGAGCAAACGGG
rnacentral:rRNA from 1 species